rnacentral:rRNA from 1 species
AGAGUUUGAUCCUGGCUCAGGACGAACGCUGGCGGCGCGCCUAACACAUGCAAGUCGAACGGAGCUGAGAGGAGCUUGCUUUUCUUAGCUUAGUGGCGAACGGGUGAGUAACGCGUGAGUAACCUGCCCUGGAGUGGGGGACAACAGUUGGAAACGACUGCUAAUACCGCAUAAGCCCACGGUGCUGCAUGGCACUGCGGGAAAAGGAUUUAUUCGCUCUAGGAUGGACUCGCGUCCAAUUAGCUAGUUGGUGAGGUAACGGCCCACCAAGGCGACGAUUGGUAGCCGGACUGAGAGGUUGAACGGCCACAUUGGGACUGAGACACGGCCCAGACUCCUACGGGAGGCAGCAGUGGGGGAUAUUGCACAAUGGGGGAAACCCUGAUGCAGCGACGCCGCGUGGAGGAAGAAGGUUUUCGGAUUGUAAACUCCUGUCGUUAGGGACGAUAAUGACGGUACCUAACAAGAAAGCACCGGCUAACUACGUGCCAGCAGCCGCGGUAAAACGUAGGGUGCAAGCGUUGUCCGGAAUUACUGGGUGUAAAGGGAGCGCAGGCGGACCGGCAAGUUGGAAGUGAAAUCCAUGGGCUCAACCCGUGAAUUGCUUUCAAAACUGCUGGCCUUGAGUAGUGCAGAGGUAGGUGGAAUUCCCGGUGUAGCGGUGGAAUGCGUAGAUAUCGGGAGGAACACCAGUGGCGAAGGCGACCUACUGGGCACCAACUGACGCUGAGGCUCGAAAGCAUGGGUAGCAAACAGGAUUAGAUACCCUGGUAGUCCAUGCCGUAAACGAUGAUUACUAGGUGUUGGAGGAUUGACCCCUUCAGUGCCGCAGUUAACACAAUAAGUAAUCCACCUGGGGAGUACGACCGCAAGGUUGAACUCAAAGGAAUUGACGGGGGCCCGACAAGCAGUGGAAGUAGUGGGUUUAAUUCGAAGCAACGCGAAGAACCUUACCAGGUCUGGCAUCCCAUGCUAAUGGAAGAAUGCAUGAAAUCCUUCCGGAAUCCAAACAAGGGGGUGCCAGGGUUGCCCUCACUCCUGGCCGGAGAAAUGUGGGGUAAAUCCCCCAACAAGCGGAACCCUUAUUGCCGUUUCUCCCUUAAAAGGACUUUGCGGAAAUGCCUUGAAAAAACGGAGGAAGGUGGGGAUGACGUCAAAUCAUCAUGCCCUUUAUGACCUGGGCUACACACGUACUACAAUGGCGUUUAACAAAGAGAAGCAAGACCGCGAGGUGGAGCAAAACUCAGAAACAACGUCUCAGUUCAGAUUGCAGGCUGCAACUCGCCUGCAUGAAGUCGGAAUUGCUAGUAAUCGCGGAUCAGCAUGCCGCGGUGAAUACGUUCCCGGGCCUUGCACACACCGCCCG